rnacentral:tRNA from 1 species
AAUUAAAUUUAUCGACGCUAUUUAAGCCAAUAAUUUUCUGGCUUAUUAAUAAUUGUGGUCCAAAGCUUUUUAUAAGUAGACGCUGAAGGUUUCUAACUUUACGGAAGUUUUUUUUCUCCAAUUGCCUAACUAUACGUAUUUGCAAAUUUGCAAUUUUUCUAUGCAAGUUGUACCAAUUUACUUUUUGUGAUUGUCUCGAAUAAUAUUUAGGGAAUAUCUUCAUGAAUUUUAUAUUUUAAAAUAAAUUUUUUUCUCUUCAGGUAGGACUUGAACCUACAACCUCUCGGUUAACAGCCGUUUGCUCUGCCUUUGAGCUACUGAAGACUCUCGAUAUUAUAAGACUAUUCUCUCUUCAGAUCCUUCAAAAAGGGAAUCUAGUUUUAAUUAAGUAUUAUAUAUUAACAUACUAAAUAUUGAAAAUACUAAACAAACUUAUUGUUAUACUCUAUACUAACAAUCUUAUAUUUUAUAUAUAAGUUUAU